GCAUGCAGUCGAGCGACGCAUACCGGAGGGGUAACCCACUGGUAUGACGGAGCGGCGAACGGGUGAGUAACACGUGAGUAACCUGCCCCACAGACCGGGACAGCCCAGGGAAACCUGGAUUAAUACCGGAUAUCCUCGAAGGAUCGCAUGAUCUUCCGAGGAAAUGCCUUUGUGCUGUGGGAUGGGCUCGCGACUUAUCAGCUAGUUGGUGGGGUAACGGCCUACCAAGGCGUCGACGAGUAGCUGGUCUGAGAGGACGAUCAGCCACACUGGGACUGAGACACGGCCCAGACUCCUACGGGAGGCAGCAGCAGGGAAUCUUGCGCAAUGGGCGAAAGCCUGACGCAGCAACGCCGCGUGGGGGAUGAAGGCCUUCGGGUUGUAAACCCCUUUCAGGAGGGAAGAAAUUGACGGUACCUCCAAAAGAAGCACCGGCCAACUACGUGCCAGCAGCCGCGGUAAUACGUAGGGUGCGAGCGUUAUCCGGAAUCAUUGGGCGUAAAGAGCUCGUAGGCGGUUCAGUAAGUCGGCUGUGAAAUUUCGAGGCUCAACCUCGAAACUGCAGUCGAAACUGCUGUGACUCGAGUCCGGUAGAGGAGAAUGGAAUUCCCGGUGUAGCGGUGAAAUGCGCAGAUAUCGGGAGGAACACCAGUAGCGAAGGCGGUUCUCUGGGCCGGCACUGACGCUGAGGAGCGAAAGCGUGUGUAGCAAACAGGAUUAGAUACCCUGGUAGUCCACGCCGUAAACGUUGGAUACUAGGUGUGGCGUCCCGAUUAACGGUCG
rnacentral:rRNA from 1 species